UUUUUUUUUUUGAGAUUACAUCUCUCUGUGUAACCCUAGCUGUCCUGGAGCUCACCUGCAGAUCAGGCAGACCUAAUAGUUUGGUGUAUGCUGGGCAAGCAUCGUACCAGUAGACUAUAUUCCUUGCCCUUUAAAAAACAAAAAAACCAAAAACACAAGUUCUCACUAGGUUGUCUAGGUUGUUCUCCAACAGUCUUCCUAUCUCAGCCUUCCAGAUUUACAGUUCUGAGCCACAUUGCUUGGCUAGAUGUGUGUGUGUGUGUGUGUGUGUUUAAUACCCUUUGUAAAAGACUCCCUUAUUGGGGGCUUUGUUGUUGUUGAUGUUAAUAAUGCUGUUGGUUCUUGAAAACAAGAAAAGAUUAUUGACACAGAAGUGGACAGACCUGACUAGGCAGAAGAAACUGUACUCUGUGACUGCAGGAAUUCUUUGUAGUUGGCUUGCAGAACUUGUGACUUCUCUGAGCAUUCUGUAAAUAAUUUACACCCUGAUGGCACUGCACAACCACAGUAAUGGCACCUCUGGCUCCGGAUGAUAUAAGCACUUUAAUAAUUCAUUGCUUAUUGCAGCUGCUUCCCUGUAGCAUGAGUGGGAGGGGAGGGCCUUUACAUAUUAGUCAUACAUUAUUACUCAUAUUUGUAGUGUUAGAAAAUGCAGGAAAGGCUAUUGAUUGCUAAAUACAUUUUGGAGAUAGUUGAAGGGAAUAGUUGGGGCUUUCAUUCUAUCAGUGGCAAUGCCUGUGAUGCCUUACUAAACCCUAAGUCUUCUUGGUUGAUGAUGAUGAUGAAUAUGUAUAUGUAUGCAUAUCUAUUUUGCAUAUGUGUGCGCAUAUAUGUCUGUGCAGAUGUGGGUGCACAUGUGUGCACGUGGGUGAAGGAGGUUCAAGGUUGAUGUUGGGAGUAUUCCUUUGAGCAGGGUUCCCUCAGUGGGACCCAGAGCUCGCUGAAUUUGUUAGUCUACCUUUCCAGGAUGGUCUUGAGAUCUUGUCGCUGAUUGUAAGUGCUUGAAUUACAAGUGGGCUUUCAGGACCAUGUGGCAUUUAUGUGGGCAUAAGGGAUCCAAACUCUGGUCUUUAUGAUUGCAUGACAAGCAUCUUUUAUCUCCUCAGGUUGUUGGUAGUUAACUCUUGAUUGCACUCCUUCCUAAGAGUUCUCCCAUGGAUAUCCCUUAGUGUUAAUAUAGAGAGUCCUUAACCAAUUAAUUUCUUUUUUUUUUCUUUUGCUUUUUCUAGAUGUGUUUUCUCUGUGUACCACUGUCUGUCUGGAACUUGCCUUGAACUCAAGAGAUCCGCUCUCUGUCUCUGGCAUGCACCUCCACUGCCCUGCCCAAACAAUUUCUUUUAAAUAAGAUACUUUAAAAGAUAGUUUUAUAUCAGUACUUUCACUUAAAAAAAAAAAAAACAGCAACAAUGCUUAGUUUUGUCCCCAUGUAAAUUAAGCUCUUUAAACGAAAGUGGCUAAGAUACUGAUGGGCAGGCAUGAAUCUCAUUGCGAGCAAAUUGUUCAGCUGUGUCAUCCAAAUCUUCGUGCACUUGCCAACUGCCUGUGGCAGCACAGGGAGACAGGUUGAUCUGUAGUGUUUCUCUAGUGUGCCCCUAUCGAUAGCCAUAUUGUAACAUGCAGUAGGUCUCUUGGGCAGACAGCUUAGGUGGGCUAGGUUCUACUUGAGCAUUGUAAAGAUGACAGGAAUCAUCCAGGUGAAUUUUUUAAAAGAUUGUUUAAAAAUUUAAACUCAUGAUGAACUUUAGUGAAAGUUCUAAUAAACUGCUUGCUAGAGAUGGGAUGAAAUUUUAAAUAAACUUUUAGUUUUAUGUAUCUUUGGAUUAGCAAGUUAUUAGCUUUUUGCUUGUUUUAUGUAUAAGCACAGUGAGGAAUAUUUGCCUUGCAGUUAUGUGCUUAUUCAUCUGGUAGUACAUAGAAGACUUCAACUUAAUAAAUAUUAAACCAGAACUGUCACAAUCAUCAACAUAAUUUGAAGAUUUAUUACCUUCCCCGGAAGCUAGAUAGCUCUUUUUAGGAAGACCAGAUUCCUUGACUGGGUCUUGCUAUGAGCACAGGUUAGCCUUGCACUAUCCUUAGUGUUAGUGUUUAUGUUUUAUGUAUUACUUCUGCAUAUCCAGCUUAGUUCAAGUUACAGAAACUCUCAUUUUGACUUGUGAAAUCUACCUUCACAUUUGUUUACAGCUGGCUGGUGUUGGUGGCACAUGCCUUUACAAGGCAGGUGGAUCUCUGUGUUCAAGAUCAGUCUCGCCUACAGAGCUAGUGUCAGGACACCCAAGGCUCCAUAAAGAAACCUGGCCUC
rnacentral:lncRNA from 1 species